rnacentral:tRNA from 1 species
GCAUCGGUGGUUUAGUGGUAAAAUUAGCCGUUGCCAGUAAGUUACCUUCUCAGGAAGAUAACUACAAUGUCGGCUAGCCCCGGGUUCGAUUCCCGGCCGAUGCA